AAGUUGCAAAGCACUUUGAAGAGAGAGUUAAAGAGGACGUGAAACCGGUAAGAUGGAAACGGAUAGAGCUAUCGUAUCUAGCUUGUAUUCAGCCGCUCUGAUCUGGGUGCCCUGUCUGCUGGUCCGGCAUCGGCUAGUUGGCGGGUGUCUCCUGGGUCUUGGCGGUGCAUUUGCAAGUGGAGUGCGCUGAGGCCUGUGGGUCAGCGGUUGGAAGUGCGCUUUGAGGACACCUUUCGGGGUGAAACCCGGGCGUAUCUAAGACUGUUUGGCCUGCUUGUACAAUGAGUGAGGCUAACGGGUUUGGCUGAGGCUGAGCUGGUCGCCGGUUACGGUCGCAUGCGACACGUGCUGGUGGCUGGUUUGGUUUUGGUCUUGCUCCCUCGCUCGCUCUCGGUGUAAAAGCUAGUCAUCUAUCCGACCCGUCUUGAAACACGGACCAAGGAGUUUAGCGUAUACGCGAGUCAUUGAGUGAAAAAUUCAAAGGCGCAAUGAAAGUAAAGGUAUCCCUUGUGGAGCUGAUAUGCGAUCUCGGGUGCUUCGGUGCCCGGGAGCAGCAUAGCCCCGUCCCAAUCGCUUGCGAUGGGGCGGAGGUAGAGCGUAUUCGCUGAGACCCGAAAGAUGGUGAACUAUUCCUGAGCAGGAUGAAGCCAGUGGAAACACUGGUGGAAGUCCGAAGCGAUUCUGACGUGCAAAUCGAUCGUCUGACUUGGGUAUAGG
rnacentral:rRNA from 1 species